rnacentral:rRNA from 1 species
AGAACGCUGGCGGCAUGCCUAAUACAUGCAAGUCGAGCGAACAGACGAGGAGCUUGCUCCUCUCUCUGUUAGCGGCGGAAUGGGUGAGUAACACGUGGGCAACCUGCCCUGUAGUUGGGGAUAACUCCGGGAAAUCGGGGCUAAUACCGAAUAAUCAAUUCUUUCGCAUGAAAGAGUUUUGAAAGACGGCUUCGGCUGUCGCUAUAGGAUGGGCCCGCGGCGCAUUAGCUAGUUGGUAAGGUAACGGCUUACCAAGGCGACGAUGCGUAGCCGACCUGAGAGGGUGAUCGGCCACACUGGGACUGAGGCACGGCCCAGACUCCUACGGGAGGCAGCAGUAGGGAAUCAUCCACAAUGGACGAAAGUCUGAUGGUGCAAUGCCGCGUGAGUGAAGAAGGUUUUCGGAUCGUAAAGCUCUGUUGUGAGGGAAGAACAAGUACAAGAGUAACUGCUUGUACCUUGACGGUACCUCAUUAGAAAGCCACGGCUAACUACGUG